rnacentral:lncRNA from 1 species
GAUAGAGAUGGCUGCACUUAAGCCAGUGUGACCCCAAACUCAGUAAGCUGAUGGAGGUUGUCUGUGCUGCUUGUUGGCAUUCACGUUGGACUUUCUUCCCUGCAGUUUCAGGGCCUGUCUGGCGGGAACACUGGUCUACUGUCCCCCGAGAAGGGGAAGUUCCAGCCAACAGUGUCGUCCCUGGGCUCUUGAGUCUGCUCUUGGCGCCAUAGAACAGGUGUAGCGCUCGUGUGUAUUAGUAAAAGCACACAGACUCGUCGGGGGUAAAUGUAAAACAGGUGUCAAUAAGGUAACUAUGAUGCCGCACAGUGUAAAAAAAAAAUGCUGUGGUCACCACACCGCCCUUUAAUAAAAACGGACUUUUAACUGUAUCAGUUUUUCUUGCUCGUGCAGUAAAUCUUAUGUUUACAGAAAUUAGCCUGAGCAUUUUAUAAAAGUCAGACAGCCAAGAAAUAUAAUUUCCUCAACAGCGUUUGUCUUGCCCUCUUGCAGAUGGUGUAAAAUCAGGUGUGUGAAGAAUAAAAAAAAAAGCAACCUGAGCCGCCGGGAACAGCGUUUCAGAUUUAUGCUUUGCAGAUGAUUCUGCUGAGAUGAAUGCAUUGAUUGCUUCUCUGUUGCUUUCCGCAGAUAAUGUCCACACCGCCCGGGAGGCACUGGGUCACAAUCCUGUCAGCAGACAUUCUUCUAGAAAUGCCGUAAUUAUGACCAAAUUAAAAAAAAAAUUGUCAUGAAGCUCAUUGACACAAAUUUCACAUUUGUAAUUUGCUUUUAUUUGUCUAAGGCCUAAGUGUAGAGUUGAGAGUUUGUAAAGUGCUUGCGCUGACAUUAGCAGGAUGAAGUGGGCAAGAGUGGCUUGCGUUAAGUUUAACGGACAAGACAAUAACGCUUAGGCCUUAGGGAAUUAUGGAGGCGUUUGUUUUCAGACAGUGUCGCUGGGACAGCGGGCUGGUCUGUAGCAAUUGGAAGGAGGCCCUUCCUGCUGCCUCCCCAGAAUUGGGUCUUGCCCUCCCCCAGGCUGUCUGUGAGUCUGUGUGGAAUUCCAGUGCCUUACAACUGUGACCGGAUCGUGGGUUCAUGUGUGUCAGAACAUGGAGGUGGGGUGCUGGUGCAGCAGCUGUGCAGCCAGCCACAUCCUCGCAGCAGCAGGACAGAACCGUGUCUGCAGUCCAGUGGGUUGGGUCGUGGCUGGCCACUGACUUGGUUCGCUGGUGUGGGCAGGAAGGGGAGGUUCUUCCCGGCUUUGACCGUCCUGCGGUCUUUACCUUUUGCUAUGUCCUUUCAGGUUUGUUUACUUUAAACACCGCAUGUGUGUGAGUGUUUUGCCUACACGUAUGUAUGUAUGUUCACACUGUGCACUCCUGGUGCCUGCAGACCUCCUAAGAGGGCCUCAGAUCUUCUGGGACUACAGUUACAGAUGACUGUGAGCCACCGUGUGAGUGUUGGGGGACUGAACCUGACUCCUCUUGCAGGAGUAGCCAAUGCUCUUAUCCACUGAGCGCCUCUUCAGCCCUCGCUGUGAACACGCUAGCAUCCCCUCCUUGCCUCGUAUUGCCUGUCUGAGGGAGGGUAGUAUAGGACUGGCUGGCUCAUUCAUGGAAUCCAGCCAAACUGAGGUUAUGGGAUGGCUUGUCACACUAGGUGCCAGACCUACAUCUCCAGCUCCAGUAUCAAUGUCUUCAGACCCUCCUUUUUCCAUCACUGUGGUCAUUUUCUAGCAGGGAUCUUGUUUUCCAAGGACAACCUGUUGGAUGACUUUCCUUAAGCUGGUUGCACCAUACCUUCCUGAGAAAGGGAUCCUUACCAGGUGACAUAAACAAAGCCACACUCAUCUGGGAGUAGCCUGCGUAUCACCACUGAACAAUAAAAGGUCAUUCAGUUGUACUGUUACAAUUAGUCCUAUCAGACAAACAAACCACGAUGAUUGAGUCUGUUUGCUUCUGUGCCAGAAGGGCAGGGCUGUGUCUUCUUCCAAGCUGGUCAUCAAACUGUCCUCGAAUGUACCACCUUCCACCAUCACAGCCCUGUGUGUGGGAGUGCCCAGGUGCCUGGAACGGCACCCAGUUGGCAGAUGGGACGGGGGCCACAUGAGUAGGCCGUCUGGCUCAGUGAGUGUCACAAGGCACUGUAUGCCAAGUACUGAGGGGCUAGCCUCUUCCAGCCAGGCUGUGGAAGGAUGAAACUGUAUGGAGCACGUAGUUCAUGGCUUCAUCUCUGUCCACGAGGCUGCCCACAUUUGCUGGGGAGGCGGGAUGUCCACAUUUUACAGAGGUGAAUUUUAUACAGUUGUUCUGUUUACUGGGGUCUGCAUGGGGCUCUGGUAAGCUGAGAAGGUGUGCCUGUAGAGGUGGGUUGGAGCCUGUCCUUCAAGGACUGGAAGGAUGGAUGGGUGAAGGCAGGGAGGAUGCGAGGACCCUGAGAGUGGCUCAGGGCGCUGGGCUACAGGUGGAGCCUUGCGGGACACAGCUUCCCACUGUCAUGAGCUUUGGGUGACUGAGAGCAGACUCCUGUCACUUGCUUGUAUCUCUCCUCAGCAGCACCACCCAUUUCAAAUGCCAGAUCAGAGUUGAGGACACCAGGAACUGCCCCAGUCAUCCUCAGGACCAUGCUGCUGCUGCUGCCGCCACCUCCUCCAUGAGCGAGCGUGGGCGAGCGCCUCUGACACAGGCAGUUACAGCAGCAGCUCUGAUUGCUUCUCCCCUGCAGGCUCCCCACGUAUUUACUCAGCCUGAAUGCCGCAGUGCUGUGCCCAGUGCCUUCCUACUGUUUCUUCCUGGGCAUAUUUCAUCUUCUCAGAGAUUCCUAAAGCUGCCCAGGGUCCUGCUCUGACCCUGCUGUGCUCAUGAAACCCCGUAAGAAGCCUUGCUGUUUAGAGAUUAGAAUUGUGGUCUUCAAUGUCCUUUGGUUGUCCUCUCCGUGCAGGGUCAUAUGGUCCUUAGAGGCCACUGGAAGUUAAUGAUGUGUGGAAGCUGGGUUGUGUUACUUGUAUUCAGGCUGUUCUUCCUACAGUUCCUGCCCCACCCACCUGCCCACAUCUGUCCACAUCUGUCCACAUCUGUCCACAUCCUCCCACUUCUAGAAUCUUCUUACCUACUCCGUAGUAACCAAUUCACAAGUCACUUACGUUACAUAACAGACCCUGGAGUGCAGCAGUGCUCAAGGCUGAUGUUUCCCUGUCUUUUCUGAGCUUACAGUGUGGUGGGAGGGAGGCACAGAUAGGAAAGGAUGCAUAUAGAAUCCUAAGUUGAGGUGAAGGCCACUGAGGAAGGAAGAUCCUAGUUGCUCAGUGGGAUAAGGGUCAGUGGCAAGAACAGCAAGGCAGUAGGGAAGUCAUUGGAUUUGUCCAUGGGAGAGGUCGCUGCCGGGGUGGACGCAGCACAGGACAGUGGAUGGGCAGUGGUGGGAAAGUGGCAAGUGCGGAGCUUGGAUAUCCUGAGAAUGGCGUGAGCAGGAGCUGGUGCCAUACACGUGUGCGGGGAAGGCAGCUACGGGUCUGGGGUGUGGCUCAGUCCCAGCGCUGACAUGGAGGGGAAGGAGGGGAAGUGCAGCUAGGCAUGGUGGCAGGUGCCUGAAGCCCCAGAGUUAGCGAGGUGGAGGCAGGAGGACUGGAGUUCAAGGUCAGCCUUACCUACACUCAUAGUUUGAGGCCAGCCUGAGUUACACAAGACCUUGUGCCCCCAAACCAUGUAAAUAAAGAAAUGAAUGUAAAGUAAAUAAAGUGGGU